GGCAAAUCGAACUCCAAUAAAAAAAUAUACAAAAAAUAAUGAAUAGUCCUGGAUAAUGAGGUACUAAGUUUCAUUCUCUGAUUUAGUAAAUCUUAAUGUUUUCUGGCUUGCUCAGUGUUCCUUGAAAUGUUUUUUUUUUAAUGUUUCACAGGCAAAUUGUUCCUUAGUUAUUUCUGUAAUUUCCAAUGACCUUAUAAUUAAACACGAUUUCUCUCAGUAAUUUGUACAAUCUGCAGGUGUUUUUCAAAUAUAAUCUCAACUCCCUGUGUAGGUAUCGCCACUGAAAUUACAGGUGACAUGAUAAUCAUUUUUCCACCAAGGAGGUGAGAUCAUGGAGUCCCAAACAUUUACAUUAGGCUCACAUGCUGCUUUCUACGCUUGCACAGAUGUUGCUCCAGCACCCAAGGUCCUAACCGCAAAUGUCAUCUGGUUUGACAGUGCACUGAUAAAGGCAGAGGAGGUGCUUUAUAAUCAUCCCUGUCUCCUGAAGUUCUGGGCCACAGUCUUCCUCAGGAAGACUCCUCGCUCACCAGCGACAUGAAAGAUGGCCAGCACUUGAGUCCUAGAGCAGAUGGGGUUCUGCUGUGGUGCACCCACUCCUGCCUCUUGGGCCACAGCACUCAGCAGACACUUCGACGUCUUACAUUACCUCUACAAGCUGUGUAGAUUGUUCUCCCUCAUCACUGACCAAACACACUGAACUUCACAAGGUCCACUCUAAGAGCUUCACUCCUUGUGAAAUGAAGAGCAAAGAAUACUGUUUUACUUACAGCUUCUGAGUGGGCAUUGAACAUCUCUGUAGCUCUUGUGUAGUUUUUUUUUUUUUUUUUGUCUUUUGGGAGUGUGAUUUGCCAUAGAAUCUAUAGGAGCAUUUUACUGAAAUAGGCUGUUCUCCUUCCCGGAGACAUCAUAUUGUACCUGCAUUUUCCAAGUUUCUCGGGAGAUAUGUAUAUUCAGCAUCACUGUGAAGGCAAAAGAGUGAAUUUUGAUAAUAAAUUUCAUCCAAG
rnacentral:lncRNA from 1 species